rnacentral:rRNA from 1 species
UCGAACGAAGUAGCAAUACUUAGUGGCAGACGGGUGAGUAACAUGUAGGUAUCUGCCCUUUGGCCUGGAAUAACACGAGGAAACUUGUGCUAAUACCGGAUAAGUUUUUACGGAGAAAGCUUUAUGCACCAUUGGAUGAGCCUGCACUUGAUUAGUUUGUUGGUGGGGUAAUGGCCUACCAAGACUGUGAUCAAUAGCUGAUUUGAGAGGAUGAUCAGCCACAUUGGGACUGAGACACGGCCCAAACACCUACGGGAGGCAGCAGUGGGGAAUCUUGCACAAUGGAGGAAACUCUGAUGCAGCGAUGCGCGUGAGUGAAGAAGGCCUUUGGGUUGUAAAGCUCUUUCGUCGGGGAAGAAAAUGACUGUACCCGAAUAAGAAGGUCCGGCUAACUUCGUGCCAGCAGCCGCGGUAAUACGAAGGGACCUAGCGUAGUUCGGAAUUACUGGGCUUAAGGAGUUCGUAGGUGGUUGAAAAAGUUGGUGGUGAAAUCCCAGAGCUUAACUCUGGAACUGCCAUCAAAACUUUUCAGCUAGAGUUUGAUAGAGGAAAGCAGAAUUUCUAGUGUAGAGGUGAAAUUCGUAGAUAUUAGAAAGAAUACCAAUUGCGAAGGCAGCUUUCUGGAUCAUUACUGACACUGAGGAACGAAAGCAUGGGUAGCGAAGAGGAUUAGAUA